rnacentral:rRNA from 1 species
GAUGAACGCUGGCGGCGUGCCUAAUACAUGCAAGUCGAGCGAACAGACGAGGAGCUUGCUCCUCUGACGUUAGCGGCGGACGGGUGAGUAACACGUGGGUAACCGACCUAUAAGACUGGGGUAACGUCGGGAAACCGGAGCUAAUACCGGAUAAUAUAUUGAACCGCAUGGUUCAAUAGUGAAAGACGGUUUUGCUGUCACGUAUAGAUGGAUCCGCGCCGCAUUAGCUAGUUGGUAAGGUAACGGCGUACCAAGGCAACGAUGCGUAGCCGACCUGAGAGGGUGAUCGGCCACACUGGAACUGAGACACGGUCCAGACUCCUACGGGAGGCAGCAGUAGGGAAUCUUCCGCAAUGGGCGAAAGCCUGACGGAGCCACGCCGCGUGAGUGAUGAAGGUCUUCGGAUCGUAAAACUCUGUUAUUAGGGAAGAACAAAUGUGUAAGUAACUAUGCACGUCUUGACGGUACCUAAUCAGAAAGCCACGCCUAACUACGUG